GAUGAACGCUGGCGGCGUGCCUAAUACAUGCAAGUCGAGCGAACAGACGAGGAGCUUGCUCCUCUGUCGUUAGCGGCGGACGGGUGAGUAACACGUGGCUAACCUACCUAUAAGACUGGGAUAACUUCGGGAAACCGGAGCUAAUACCGGAUAAUAUAUUGACCCGCAUGGUUCAAUAGUGAAAGACGGUUUUGCUGUCAUUUAUAGAUGGUUCCGCGCCGCAUUAGCUAGUUGGUAGGGUAACGGCUUACCAAGGCAACGAUGCGUAGCCGACUUGAGAGGGUGAUCGGCCACACUGGAACUGAGACACGGUCCAGACUCCUACGGGAGGCAGCAGUAGGGAAUCUUCCGCAAUGGGCGAAAGCUUGACGGAGCAACGCCGCGUGAGUGAUGAAGGUCUUCGGAUCGUAAAACUCUGUUAUUAGGGAAGAACAAAUGUGUAAGUAACUAUGCACGUCUUGACGGUACCUAAUCAGAAAGCCACGGCUAACUACGUG
rnacentral:rRNA from 1 species